rnacentral:rRNA from 1 species
AGUGAACGCUGGCGGUAGGCCUAACACAUGCAAGUCGAACGGCAGCACAGUAAGAGCUUGCUCUUACGGGUGGCGAGUGGCGGACGGGUGAGGAAUACAUCGGAAUCUACUUUUUCGUGGGGGAUAACGUAGGGAAACUUACGCUAAUACCGCAUACGACCUACGGGUGAAAGCAGGGGAUCUUCGGACCUUGCGCGAUUGAAUGAGCCGAUGUCGGAUUAGCUAGUUGGCGGGGUAAAGGCCCACCAGGGCGACGAUCCGUAGCUGGUCUGAGAGGAUGAUCAGCCACACUGGAGCUGAGACACGGUCCAGACUCCUACGGGAGGCAGCAGUGGGGAAUAUUGGACAAUGGGCGCAAGCCUGAUCCAGCCAUACCGCGUGGGUGAAGAAGGCCUUCGGGUUGUAAAGCCCUUUUGUUGGGAAAGAAAAGCAGCAGGUUAAUACCCCGCUGUUCUGACGGUACCCAAAGAAUAAGCACCGGCUAACUUCGUG